UUUAUUUUUCAUUAAAUAUUGUGAGCCAUUGUUCUCCAUUUGUUGUGGCUGGGUCUCCCUUGUUUGAUUACAAAUAACUUUCUUUCGCGUUUCUUUUCCUUGUUAUUUAAUGUUCUUGCUUGUUGAGACGGUGUAAUUUGAUUCUCAUUAAUCAUUCUUACAAUUACCAGAGCUCUCCACGGUUCUACUUCAUCAAUUUUCUCCAUUCGUUUCGUUAAAACGGUACCUUUAGGUAUAUACCGAGCUCAGGAGCUGCCUUCAGUGGGGUACACCCGGAGAAACUGGAACAAGCCUUUCCAUCGAAGCCUCGCUUUUUGCUUGGCACCGUUCGAUCACUCUGUUCUCUCCGUUAACCCACGAGGAUCCUGGCGGCGUUCCGGAUCAGACUGAAACGCUACAAGGACCCGAAGUUUCUCCUGAGCCGGAAAAGUGGAACGGAGUCGGAGGAAGCCGCCGGUAAAGGUUUAGAUCACUGCUCUCUUUAUUGUUCCAAUCGGGCAAUUUAUUCUUAAAACUCGCUAAUCUUUUCAUGUGUACCUAAUCCGUGAAGCGAUAGUGUCCCGGGGAGUUACUCGGGCACGCAGCUGUGGUGGAGAGCGAAACCGGGAACAAUUCUCUAUUGGGCCCUUUUGAUUGGAACCGAAAAAGGAACCCGGCUGCGGGGAAAAAUUAACAUGUCUGUUUUAAACACAGGGAGCCCUUACUCCAGCUUUUAGUAAAUACAUCCACACUGAGAUUAGGUCUCCGUUCAUCAGAUACGGGCACAGAAUCUACCAGCAUAUCGAGGGCUUUUACUCAGCUGAAGCAUUAGGUAUUUAUCAUGUUGCAAAAAGGAAAGGGACAUUUAACGAAACAGAAAUUUUUCAAGGAAUGUUUUUUUUCAACGCGUAAAGUAUUCUGCGGAGGAAGAAAGAGAGAGGGGGGGGCAAGUGUCAGCGUUUUUACUGAAGCCUGCUUUUGGGUGCCGCUAGACUAAACUGAACACCCAGAGCAGCCUGUGGGAUUACUGAGCCCAUAGAGUCCUGGGAAACUGUUAAACAGGAAACAUUGCUGUCGCAGAUCGCUGUUUAAUAAAGUUGCUGAUAUGAUGGUUGUAGUGUUGAGCUGGAGCUGCCUGAAAUGCUUAACGCCGGGCAGGGAAGAGCCCUGUCUCUGUUUCAUUGGAAACCUCAAACCCGCACUUUCUAAUAAUGAAAAUGGCUUUAACGUCAAUUAGAUGCAGGUGGGACUUUAAGAAGUGCGUUGGUGACUGAUGCUGUGACCUUUUUGGCCUCUUUUACAUCGUUUUUCUGUCAACAAGCCGCUCAUUGGGAUCUAUUCCCUCCCCCCGGGCUGAGAGCCUCUCUCGGUAGAAGAAACAACCUGAGCUCUUUCAGGUGUCGCCCAUGUCCUGUGCUCGCACACUCGUUCCCGACUGGUCUAGACAUUGUUCCACCGGGUCAAACAGCAAAAACCCGUUCCGCGUUUCACUGUGAAGAAAAGAAAAUCGUAAUCUGCACAAACGUACAGCGGGUUUAUUCCAUUUCGCUUCGAGAUCUGGUUAAUGUUGAAGAGAUAAGGCAGUUAGGAGUUCUACCAUUUUCCACCACAGCUUUCUUUCAGCAGCAUUUUCCAGUCAUUAGGAUCCAAACCACACAACUCUUCUCCUCCCACUCUCAGUAACUAAAAAAAAUCUCAAUCACUGCACAUGUGAAAUACAUAAAAGCACAAAAGCUUCUUUAUCUGAGGAGCGUUCCAAAUAUAGCAAGAACUAUAGAAUCUGCACGUGGUUUUUCGCUUUCAGGCUCAUACUGUCACUGAACGUCGAUGAGUUUGAAAGACCGCUGCCAAAUAACACUAUGCUGGGAUAACACACAUUGCUUUGGGCAAUCUACAGCAUCUUUGCUGGAGAUCGGUUUACCAACAUAGAGCCACAACAAAAGCACAUCAGUGUCUGAUGUUCCAAUCAUGGAAUUCAUAUAAACAAUCCCUGGUUCGGAAUCGAAUGAUUGGGACCAAUUUGCAGAGUCCCAGCCUAUUAACACCUGCACAGCACACGGCCUGGUGUUUACCCUGACUACUUCACAAGACCAAGUUAGGCUGGUACGCCCAACGACAACAUUCGAAGUGCCACAGUUCCCUGAUUCGAACUGUCAUUUAAAGGAACAUUACCUGUAUUUAAUAUUUAAAAAUAAUUUGAACAGCGCCCAUUUUCCGAUUUGCCUGUUAUUAUCGACAGACUACUGGUCAGAGAAAACGUAGUUUAAAUUAAGCGCUUUUCCUAAAGCUUCACCUGUCGGGUGACGUUAAAGACGAUUUUCGGUUGUCUUUAACAUUGCUAUUGACAAAAAAAAUCGGAUUCUGCCUGUUAUCCCUUAAACACCUUGAUUCACGACUUUGCAGUUCGACUGGUUAGAAACUCGGAAUUAAUGAUAACUGUAGGAAACAACUAAAAACACAGUGCAGCAUGUUCAUUUAGUUCGUCAGAAUUCAUGCAGGGAAGCGACAAAUAUCGAAAAUAAAAGUUAUGUUUCCUCAAGACAGUUUUGUUCAGCUUGGCAAUUUUUGAUUGCAGUCGAGUGAAAGACAUGUAAAGGAGUCAUCCUUUUACAACAAGUGUGAAGGAGUUAUUAUGGGAUGCAGACUCAAUCGCUUUGCAUAAAUUCAAAUGUAUUCGUGUGUUUUACCCUGCUUUGGGGAAUAAAGAAGCAACGUUUUAUCCCCACGAGAAA